UACGGAGGGGGCGAGCGUUAUUCGGAAUUAUUGGGUCGUAAAGGGCGCGUAGGCGGCCUUGUAAGUCAAAGGUGAAAUCCCUCGGCUCAACUGAGGAACUGCCUUUGAAACUGCAAGGCUUGAGGCCGGGAGGGGGUAGCGGAAUUCCCAAUGUAGCGGUGAAAUGCGUAGAUAUUGGGAGGAACACCAGUGGCGAAGGCGGACUACCUGGACCGGCCCUGACACUGAGACGCGAAGGCGUGGGGAGACGAACGGG
rnacentral:rRNA from 1 species